GCCGGGCGCAGUGGCUUGCGCCUGUAAUCCCAGCAAUGUGGGAGGCUGAGGCAGGUGGAUCACCUGAGGCUAGGAGUUCGAGACCAGCCUGGCCAAAAUGGUGAAAGCCUGUCUCUA
ensembl:misc_RNA Metazoa_SRP Metazoan signal recognition particle RNA